AUUGAACGCUGGCGGCAGGCCUAACACAUGCAAGUCGAACGGCAGCACAGAAGAGCUUGCUCUUUGGGUGGCGAGUGGCGGACGGGUGAGUAAUGUCUGGGAAACUGCCCGAUGGAGGGGGGUAACUACUGGAAACGGUAGCUAAUACCGCAUAACGUCGCGAGACCAAAGUGGGGGACCUUCGGGCCUCACACCAUCGGAUGUGCCCAGAUGGGAUUAGCUAGUAGGUGGGGUAAUGGCUCACCUAGGCGACGAUCCCUAGCUGGUCUGAGAGGAUGACCAGCCACACUGGAACUGAGACACGGUCCAGACUCCUACGGGAGGCAACAGUGGGGAAUAUUGCACAAUGGGCGCAAGCCUGAUGCAGCCAUGCCGCGUGUAUGAAGAAGGCCUUCGGGUUGUAAAGUACUUUCAGCGGGGAGGAAGGCGGUGAGGUUAAUAACCUCGCCGAUUGACGUUACCCGCAGAAGAAGCACCGGCUAACUCCGUGCCAGCCGCCGCGGUAA
rnacentral:rRNA from 1 species